UACGAAGGGGGCUAGCGUUGCUCGGAAUUACUGGGCGUAAAGCGCACGUAGGCGGCUUUCUAAGUCGGGGGUGAAAUCCUGGAGCUCAACUCCAGAACUGCCUUCGAUACUGGAGAGCUUGAGUCCGGGAGAGGUGAGUGGAACUGCGAGUGUAGAGGUGAAAUUCGUAGAUAUUCGCAAGAACACCCGUGGCUAAGGCGGCUCUCUAGUACGGUACUGACGCUGAGACGCGAAAGCGUGGGGAGCGAACAGG
rnacentral:rRNA from 1 species